AGGCUGCAACUCGCCUGCACGAAGUUGGAAUUGCUAGUAAUCGUGGAUCAGCAUGCCACGGUGAAUACGUUCCCGGGUCUUGUACACACCGCCCGUCACACCAUGGGAGCCGGUAAUACCCGAAGUCAGUAGUCUAACCGCAAGGAGGACGCUGCCGAAGGUAGGAUUGGCGACUGGGGUGAAGUCGUAACAAGGUACC
rnacentral:rRNA from 1 species